rnacentral:rRNA from 1 species
UACGUAGGGGGCGAGCGUUGUCCGAAGUUACUGGGCGUAAAGCGCGCGUAGGCGGUUUGGCAAGUUUCGUGUGAAAACUUCGGGCUCAACUCGAAGCCUGCACGGAAAACUGCCGGGCUUGAGUAUGGGAGAGGUGAGUGGAAUUUCCGGUGUAGCGGUGAAAUGCGUAGAUAUCGGAAGGAACACCUGUGGCGAAAGCGGCUCACUGGACCAUAACUGACGCUGAGGCGCGAAAGCUAGGGGAGCAAACAGG